rnacentral:siRNA from 1 species
UCAGUUUGGGUGAGACGACUGC